GCGGCCUAUCAGCUUGUUGGUGAGGUAAAGGCUCACCAAGGCGACGACGGGUAGCCGGCCUGAGAGGGCGACCGGCCACACUGGGACUGAGACACGGCCCAGACUCCUACGGGAGGCAGCAGUAGGGAAUAUUGGGCAAUGGGCGAAAGCCUGACCCAGCGACGCCGCGUGAGGGAUGAAGGUCUUCGGAUUGUAAACCUCUUUCAGUAGGGAAGAAGCGAAAGUGACGGUACCUAAAGAAGAAGCGCCCGGCUAACUAUGUGCCAGCAGCCGCGGUAAUACAGAGGUNCCCGAGCGUUGUUCGGAAUUAUUGGGCGUAAA
rnacentral:rRNA from 1 species